rnacentral:tRNA from 1 species
CUAUCCUUAGUUUAAUGAGAAUGACAGCUUGUCAGGCUGUAGGUGGGUUUUUUGCUUAGGUUGGG